UACGAAGGUCCCGAGCGUUGUUCGGAAUCACUGGGCGUAAAGGGAGCGUAGGCGGUGCGGUAAGUCAGAUGUGAAAUCCCGGGGCUCAACCCCGGAACUGCAUCCGAUACUGCCGUGCUAGAGGAUUGGAGAGGUAGCUGGAAUUCUUGGUGUAGCAGUGAAAUGCGUGGAUAUCAUGAGGAACGCUAAUGGCGUAGGCAGCAUACUGGACAGUUACUGACGCUGAGGCACGAAGGCUAGGGGAGCAAACAGG
rnacentral:rRNA from 1 species